AGGGUAAAACCCGUAAUCUUCCAU
rnacentral:snRNA from 1 species